GAUCGAUCUCGGGUGGAAAAGGCUUUCGCCCAAUCCCCGCGCGCGCUCCGCUCCCAAUCCUGGUCGCGGGGUUGCUGCGCCAGAGCCCACACCCGCACCAACCCUAGCCGCCACACCUCUGCUUCCUCCCUCGCUCGACAGCGCCGCACCCCCUCCCUCCUUGCUGCUUGUCCGGAUAGCCGCCGGCCGCCGCAUCCCUUCUCCCCCUUCCUCCUCCUUCCUCCUUCCCGCUGGUGCCAACGAGGGGGCCUCCCACAUGGACGGCCGGGUCUUCGAACCGGGGGUAGAGGAGCAGGGGAGGGCCAAGAAGCCGGCGGUGGGAGUGGAGCAGCCAGGAGGGCCAAGAAGCCCGCGGUGGGUGUGGAGCAGCCAGGAGGGCCAAGAAGCCGACGGUGGGGGUAGAGGAGCAGGGGAGGGCCAAGAAAGCCGGCCGGGAGCACACCACCGUAGGCGUCAAGGGAGCCGUGGACAAGCCGCCAGGAGGAAAAAGCUCCCAGUUUGAGGAGGAGACUACGGCACAGGUGGUGUUUUGAAAUCUAGAUUGAUUUGGUACUGUAUGUGGUGUGGUGUGCCCUUGCCAGGAAUAUCUAAUGUGUGUCAUGACACAAUCAAUUGUAGAGUUGGGAAGCAUGAUGCUCGAUUAGUGGACUGCCGCUUGAGAAGAAGCUUGUCAUAUGUCUCUUCGAGCCGCGGCGGCUAGGGGCCUUGGAAGAACACGAGGUUUGACAUAGCCAUUAAGGAAGUGCAGGAUACAAACCAGAUUAAACAAAGAGGAUAUGGAUUCAGUACGGCCACGAGUGAAGGAAUGCUGUUCCAAUUUGGAUCUUGGAGAAUGUUUUCUCACUGUGGUUCAGGUUAAACUGUUGUUCUACUGUUCCUACUCAGCCUCCUAAUGUUCUAUGUCUUGAUGCGCCUUCUUCCAGCUUCUCUAUUGGUUUUCUCUUCACACUGAUGAAAAUUCCUAGGGAUUUGAUUGAUGGAGGCAUCGCUAUUUGGCGCUGGAUUAUCCAUUUUUGCAGCAACCAGCAAUGCUGUUUUUGUUUGGAAUGGCCAGUUAUCAAUUUCUAAAUCAGCUAUACUAUACUUCUUGUCAGGUUACAUUAUCUUGCUUCGUUUCAGUCUAUAUGUAGCACAAAAAUACUCGGUGACAUGGUUGGUUUGUAUGUUACACUAAUGAACACCACCAUAAGGAAAAGGGCAUUGCACUUCUUUGUUUAUAUUUGGUGUGUUCCUAUUCGGUGACAUACUGUUCUGGUUGGUUAGCUUCACGCUCUAAAGCUAGGAUUUUAAUUCUCUGAGUGUAAGUAAUGUAUUGUUAUACCAGAUGAAAUAUAUGCAGGCACUGCUAACAUGAUUUUGCUUAUAGGCGGAAGUAUAUUUUUUAAAUCCAUCUGUUCAAUUCUAAGGACCAUUCUUUACUAGAAGUCCAGAACUAUGUGAUUUGGUAAUUGUGUCAAAGCUCGCCUAGUUGUGCCGUAUUGCAUUGUGAAUGCUAUGUUGUUGGGGAAUUAGUGAGCUUGGUUAUAUUUCUGUGGCCGUCAUGUUAACUGGUGGCCAUAGUGCUUGCUUGCUAGCUACGAGUUAUUCUUGUGUGUUUGCUUAGUGGCGUAGUUAUGUGUGUGUGCAUGUGUGUGUGUGUGUGUGCGGGCACCUGUUGUGUUUUUUGCUUGCUUGUUGGUGCGUGCAUGAUUGUUGUGACUAGGCGCUGGCUGUUCGGUGCUGGGCUGCUGAUGGCAUGCUACCUGCUUCGAAAAAAGGAAUGAAAGGAAGCAUUUGUUCAUAGAACAAAUAUAUUGUAAAAUUUUCCAUGGAAAGCCUGCAUAUUUAGCAAGGAAAAGGAGUCUAGAGAGCCUUAGGUUCUUGUUAUGUGUUGAUUUUGCAAAAUUUCUGCAGCUAUAUAUUUGCUCAAUCCAAAAGACAAAUUGUACUCAACCUUCAGUAUAAUGUAUUUCUAAUUGUUCAUAACUACUUAAUUUUUUGUUGUGAUUUUGCAAGAUAUUGAAAUUAUUGUAUUUCGAAAUUGUUAUACUGAUUCCUCGAUGCUCUGUUCAUGGCUUUUUUUUCUUAUUUUAUCCUUCUUUGCUUUUUUCCUUUCCUACAAGAAGAUGUCGAGUCAUGUAAUAUGUUCAAAGAAGAGAGAAUCUGCAUUUUAUGAAUCCUUUCUUCUUUCUUCAUUGUUACUUCAAGUUAGUGAAUUCAUUUAAGUUGUAUUGAGCAGCUUCAUGUGAUGGUUUCUUCAUCUACACAUCUUAUUCAGUCACGAGGCCAGUAAGAUCUUUUGCCUUUUAGAAAAAGGGAGAUGCCAUUUAGACCAUACUCUUCCAACUUGAUCUUUAACUUGCUACUACUGUUUCUAAGCAUUUUCCCAAGCAUUUUUUAUUUGCUUCAGAGAAUGAGCUCACCUUAUAAAGUGGAUGUGCCAAGUAAAAAAAAUAGAAACUGAGCAAUUAGUUCCACUCUUAAAUUUUGUACAGCAGUCCAAAUUAUCCAAUAAAUCAUUUGUUAGUAGGGUCAAAUUAUAGAAGUUGAAUCAGCUGUUCCAAAUUACCCAGUGAGACUUAUUCCAUUUGUUUAUCCUUUCGUCCUUUAAAUCAAGAACAAUGUUUAGAUCUUACAUGGUUGUCGAAAUUUAGUUAUGUAAAAGAGGAAUAUUGAUAUCAUGCAAUGAUCAGUGCAGAUUAGGAUAGUUAUAGAGUUCUUCCUCAGUUUUCAUUGAGCAAAGAUUGAAUCUGUAUGAUUUGUUCUAAUACCAAGUAAAUCUUGGUCUGCAUUGUGUUAGUUUUCCUACUGAGUUUUUUUUGGCUAUUUUCAUUUAAAUUGGUAGUUGAUGUGAAAAAGAGUAUUGACAUGCAUGUAACCAAAUCAUGUAUUAAUGUGAGGUACUACAUAUACAUGCAUAUCUCUUUCCAGAAGCACAGCCCUCUUGAUCCAACUAGGAACAUCAAAACCAAAUGGGAUAUCAUUGAGUGGACUUCAGAUGGCCAUGCUGAUAAUCUGACACCUAAUAAGGACCAAGAGAACAACAGAGAUGCUAAGAGGCAACCUUUUGGGUUUAAGGAUAUAAACAACAUGGCUUACGAGGAUUUGAACUGCUGUUCUUUUAGUUCCACUCUUAAAUGUUUUGGUUCUUGAAGGCCUGCACUUUCCUGGUGGAGUAGGAGCAAAAUAAUUCAGAGGCUUUAAAGCUGCUGCACUUUAGCAGUUAGGAUCAAUUCUUUGUUUUGGUUUGAAAUGCUCCUCAAUUCCUCCUAUUUGAUUGUAGACAUGAAAUAUAUUCAGAAAGCGUCAGUUUUGUUC